rnacentral:misc_RNA from 1 species
UCUCCGUAGGUGAACCUGCGGAGGGAUCAUUACUGAGUGAGGGGCUCCGGCCCCAGACCUCCAACCCAUUGUUAUCCGACACUGUUGCCUCGGGGGCGACCCGGCCUUCGGGCGUCGGGGCCCCCGGCGGACCACUCAACUCUGCAUCUUUGCGUCUGAGUCUUAUAUAUGAAUGAAAUCAAAACUUUCAACAACGGAUCUCUUGGUUCUGGCAUCGAUGAAGAACGCAGC